rnacentral:rRNA from 1 species
CCUACGGGUGGCAGCAGUGGGGAAUAUUGCACAAUGGGGGAAACCCUGAUGCAGCGACGCCGCGUGAGUGAAGAAGUAAUUCGGGAUGUAAAGCUCUAUCAGCAGGGAAGAAAAUGACGGUACCUGAGUAAGAAGCCCCUGCUAACUACGUGCCAGCAGCCGCGGUAAUACGUAGGGGGCAAGCGUUCACCGGAUUUACUGGGUGGAAAGGGAGCGUAGACGGCAGGGCAAGUCAGGAGUGAAAGGCGGGGGCUCAACCCGCGGACUGCUCUGGAAACUGUACGGCUGGAGUGCCGAAGAGGUAAGUGGAAUUCCUGGUGUAGCGGUGAAAUGCGUAGAUAUUAGGAGGAACACCAGUGGCGAAGGCGGCUCACUGGACUGUAACUGACGUUGAGGCUCGAAAGCGUGGGGAGCAAACAGGAUUAGAUACCCUUGUAGUC